rnacentral:rRNA from 1 species
UACGUAGGUGGCAAGCGUUGUCCGGAAUUACUGGGUGUAAAGGGAGCGUAGGCGGGCUCGCAAGUUGAAUGUUAAAUCUACCGGCUCAACCGGUAACCGCGUUCAAAACUGCGAGUCUUGAGUGAAGUAGAGGCAGGCGGAAUUCCUAGUGUAGCGGUGAAAUGCGUAGAUAUUAGGAGGAACACCAGUGGCGAAGGCGGCCUGCUGGGCUUUUACUGACGCUGAUGCUCGAAAGCAUGGGGAGCAAACAGGAUUAGAUACCCUGGUAGUCCAUGCCGUAAACGAUGAUUACUAGGUGUGGGGGGACUGACCCCUUCCGUGCCGCAGUUAACACAAUAAGUAAUCCACCUGGGGAGUACGGCCGCAAGGUUGAAACUCAAAGGAAUUGACGGGGGCCCGCACAAGCAGUGGAGUAUGUGGUUUAAUUCGAAGCAACGCGAAGAACCUUACCAGGUCUUGACAUCGCACGCAUUACCUAGAGAUAGGGAAGCCCUUCGGGGCGUGUAGACAGGUGGUGCAUGGUUGUCGUCAGCUCGUGUCGUGAGAUGUUGGGUUAAGUCCCGCAACGAGCGCAACCCUUACAGUUAGUUGCUACGCAAGAGCACUCUAACAGGACUGCCGUUGACAAAACGGAGGAAGGUGGGGAUGACGUCAAAUCAUCAUGCCCCUUAUGACCUGGGCCACACACGUACUACAAUGGCCAUCAACAGAGGGGUGCAAAGCCGCGAGGCAGAGCAAAUCUCAAAAAAUGGUCUCAGUUCGGAUUGCAGGCUGCAACUCGCCUGCAUGAAGCCGGAAUUGCUAGUAAUCGCGAAUCAGCAUGUCGCGGUGAAUACGUUCCCGGGCCUUGUACACACCGCCCGUCACACCAUGAGAGUCGGUAACACCCGAAGCUUGUAGUCUAACCGCAAGGAGGACGCAAUCGAAGGUGGGGUCGAUAAUUGGGGUG